GAGGCCGCAACUUAGCAUCCUCAGGAAGUUACACCUUAACCUCCAGUAUUUCAAGAGGUAACAAUUUCAACACCAGGUCAGGAUCAAUCUCAGCAUUGAAUAUCACCCAUCAUUAUAGUUAAACCUCUGGACCUGGGACUUACCAUAACUCCAGAACCCACUUCAGAGGUUGAACAUUCUACACCCCUGAAGAAGACUAUAGUUCCUCCAAAGCACCCUGAGGUGACACUUCCACAUCCACACCAGGUUCAGACUUAGCAUUCAAACCUGACUCAAGUCACAUUUCAGCCUUUGGAUCUGAAACUUACCUUAACUCCAGAAUCCUCUAUGGAGGUUGAGCCUUCUUCAACCAUGCAUAAGACCCCAACUCAGCCUCCAGAGCUACCUAAGCAGGUUGUAGUUCACCCUCCUGGGUAUUAUUAUGAGAUGUCUCUUCCAACAGAAGGCCAGGAUCAAGCUAAUCAUCCAACCUCACCCAGUGUCACAGUUCAACCUUUGGAUCUGGGGCUUACCGUUACUCCACAAUUCACUACAAAGGUUGAACCUUCUAGAGCCAUGAUGACUACAGCUCCUCUGCCAAAGCACCCUAAGGUGACACUUCCACCACGAGACAAAGGUCAAUGCUCAGUAUUCAAACCAGACCCAAGUCACAGUUCAACUUUUGGACUUGGAACUUACCAUAAAUACAGAACCUACUACAGGGGUGAAACUUUUCCAACCACAGAGGAGACCUCAACUCAGCCUCCAGACCUGGGGCUUGCCAUAACUCUAGACCCCAUACAGACAUUGAACAUUCUACAGCCCUGGACAAGACUGCAGCUUCACGUCCAGACCAGGUUCAGACUCAGCUUCAAAACCUGACUGAAGUCAGAGGUCCACCUUUCAACUAGAACCUACUCAGGAUUCAUUGGUUCAGUCUGAAAGUUACACCCAAAAUAAGGCUUUAACUGCACAAGAGGAACAGAAGGCCUCCACAAGCACCAACAUAUGUGAUCUCUGUACCUGCGGAGAUGAGACGCUGUCAUGUAUUGACAUCAGCCCAAAGCAGAGGCUCCGCCAAGUGCCUGUGCCAGAGCCUAGCACCUACAAUGGCAUCUUCACCAUCUUCCCAGCAGGCGGCCCCAAACCAGCAUCCAGAGCAGGUGUAACCUUCUGCAACCCAACAGGAGGCCACAACUGAGCCUCCAGGUCCUCAUGUGAAUGCUGAACAUUCCCCAGUGAGCAGGAGCAGCCAGGUCUGCCUUCUGGGUUUUCUGGAGAAGUUGAGUCCUCUCUAGCCUGCAGGAGACCCCAGCCCAGCCUCCAGAACAUCAUCAAGUAACAGUUCCACCUCCUGGUCACCAUCAAGUUCAACACUGAGAUUUGCCCAAUGUCACUGUUAAGCCUCCAAAUAUGCAGCUCACCAUAGCAACACAGCCUACUGCAGAGGUGGGAACUUCGCCAGUCCAUCAGGAGGCUACAGCUCAGCUCUCAGGGCCAGUUAAUGAUGUGGAACAUUCUGACAUCCAGCAUGGGGCCCCGCCUCUGCCUACAGAGUCAUCGGAAGAGACUGGACCUUUACCAGUUCAACAGGAGACUUCAGCUGAAUCUCCAGAACCUACUAAAGAUGAGAACCCCUCUCCAAUACAGUAGGAGGCUGCAGGUGAGCAUCCACAGACCCCUGAGUAGGUCGAGUCUUCUCCAACCCAGCAAGAUGCCCCAGCUCAGCCUUCAGAGCUCCCUAAUGAAGUUGUAGCUCAACCUCCAGAGCAUCACAGAGUAAUAGUUUCUCCUGUAAGUCAUGAGGAAGUUCAGCCUCCAACAUUUCACCAUGUCAUUGUUAAGCCUGUGGAUCACAUGGUUACCAUGACUCCAGAGUUCACCUAUCAGGUGGAAGUUUUAACUCAACACAGGGCCCCAGCUCAGCCUUUAAUAUCCCCUGAGCAGUUUAAACAUUUGAAAGACCAGCAAAAGAUUAUCAUUCAGCAGCUAAAUACCCCUGGAAAUGAUGAACUUCCGCCAAAUCUAUCAAGAGCCCAUGACUCCAUCUCCAACUCAGCUCUCCUCAGACAUUUCAUGCUUAUCCAACGAGUGUAUAAAAGGCCCAAGAAGACAAGGUUCAGAGAGCUUCCGGAUAGCUGAACGCAUGGAGGCUGACAGGACAGUGAAGGAGAACUCAUCCACGCGCUGGGCGAGUGGUGCACCCCAACUCCACAGGAACGGAAGCUCCUCCAGAUCUUGCCUUGUGUUAUCUUUCCAUCUGGCUAUUUAUUUGCAUCCUUUUUAAAUGUAAGUAAGUGCUUCCAUGAGUUCCGUGAGCUCCUCCAGCAAAUUAAUCAACCCCGAAGAGGGUGGGUCAUGGUAACCCCAACUUGAAGCCAGCUGGUCAGACAUUCUGGAAGCCCAGACUCGUGACUGGUGGGAAGGAGGGAGCAGUUCUGUGGAACUGAUUCCUCAACCUGUGGUUUCUGAGGCUAUUUCCAGGUAGAUGGUGUCACAGUUGAAUUAACUGGUGGA
rnacentral:lncRNA from 1 species